CCAGUGCUAAAUCUAUGAUCCCAUGGACAAAUAAAAAUUGGAUUUUGUAAGGUAAGUUGUCUCCCUGCACAGGAAUUAAAUUCACAGUAAGUAACCCUGAUCUUCUGUACUGAAUACAGACUAACAAAACUUGAUAAGAAAUUUUCUGUACAGUAAGCUGAAGGGGGAUGAUAAAAGACAGAAGCUACUCAAACAAUGCAAAAAAGAAAAUGCCAACUAUUGGGAAACAAAAUCUUAUAUGCAAAAAUUCAGAGAACCAACCUUGUAAUUUUUUCUUUUCAUUACUGAUGCCUUAAAACUAAUUGGAGAAAGAGGUAGUUAUAAACAGCCAAAGAUCCCGUGUUGGUGAGCCUCUGGCAUGCCUGCUGGAGGGAGCUGCUCCCCUCACCCUCUCCACACGUGACCCACCCCUCUGCCCAGCAGUGCUUCCUCCCUCCCCUAUUUGGAGUAAGGUCACAAAUACUGAAGACCUGACCUAGAAAAUUAGCAGUGAGAGCAGAAAAGUGAAAAAUACAACAGAUAUUGAAGAAGUAUCAUCAAAAAGAUUCAGCAACUAAUUGAUGUGAAGAGUAACAAAGAGAGAAGGGGGUUCAGAGGGUUUUGAGUCUGGGUGACUAGAAGAAUCAUGGUGCCAUCAACACAAAUAAAGAAAUUAGAGUGUAUGAAUUGUGAGGUAACAAUUAUGAGUUCUGUUUUAGAUAAUGCAUUUAAAGUGACUGUAGGAAAUCCAGAUGAAGAUACCUAGAAAACAAAUUACAUGGGUCUCAAACCCAAGGAAGGGAUGAUCAAGGACAGAGAUAGAUUUGGGCAUUAUCAGUCAUAAGAGUCAUUGAGAUCAUGAAAGAAGAUAAUGUAAAUAUAAAAGAGAGGGUUAAUAGGGCAAAAUGUUGGAAGAUAUUCACAUCUAGGGAAAGAGAAGCCACUGAAGAAGACAAAGAAGGAGUGAUCAGAGUGGUUGGAGGAGAUUCUGAAGAAUGAAAUAUCAUUGAAUCCAAGGAAGGUGACAGUACCAAAAAGAAAUAAAUGAUAAAUGGUAGCAAAUACCACAAAGAAGACAAAAGGCUUAAGAACUGAUAAAAGACCAUUUAAUUUGAUAUUAAGGUAGCCUUAGAAAGAACCAUUUCAAUAAACUGUGAAGGGAAGAA